rnacentral:rRNA from 1 species
UACGAAGGGGGCUAGCGUUGCUCGGAAUUACUGGGCGUAAAGGGCUCGUAGGCGGCCAACUAAGUCGGAUGUGAAAUCCCCAGGCUUAACCUGGGAACUGCAUCCGAUACUGGAUGGCUUGAAUCCGGGAGAGGGAUGCAGAAUUCCAGGUGUAGCGGUGAAAUGCGUAGAUAUCUGGAGGAAUACCGGUGGCGAAGGCGGCAUCCUGGACCGGCAUUGACGCUGAGGAGCGAAAGCUAGGGGAGCAAACGGG